rnacentral:lncRNA from 1 species
UGUUCCAAUUCUGCCUACCAAUAGAAAAAUUACCAUUACCAUCACCAGUAAAUGAUUGCCCAUGUUCCAACCUUUCAUCCUUCAAACCUAAGUGGCAUGAACCACCAUCACCAACACAAAUUGCCUUGAAAGUUCUACAACAGCUCUGGCAGCUAGGCUGGCAUAUUCUACAAACUCAUUCGCUGCUUGAGCAGCAGAGGUAGCAUCCUUAAAUUUCAUGUUCCAAUUCUGCCUGCCAACAAAAAUAUUACCAUUACCAACUCUAGGAAAUGAUUGCCCAUGUUCCAACCAUUCAUCCUUGAAACCUAAGUCCCAUGAACCAGCAUCAUCAACACAAUAUUGCCUUGAAAGUUCUAUAACAGCUCUGGCAGCUAGGCUUGCAUAUUAUGCAAACUCAGUUGCUGCUUGAGCAGCAGAGGUAGCAUCCUUAAAUUUCAUGUUCCAAUUGUGCCUGCCAACAGAAAAAUUACCAUCUCCAGGAAAUGAUUGCCCAUGUUCUAAACUUUCAUCCUUGAAACCUAAGUGGCAUGAACCACACUCCUCAACACAAUAUUGCC